rnacentral:rRNA from 1 species
GAUGAACGCUGGCGGCGUGCCUAACACAUGCAAGUCGAGCGAACAGACGAGGAGUUUGCUCCUCUGACGUUAGCCGCGGGCGGGAGAGUCACAUGUGUAUAACCUACCUAUCAGACUGAGAUAAUCUCGGGAAACCGGAGCUAAUACCAGAGAAUAUAUUGCACCGCAUUGUUCAAUAGUGAAAUACGGUUUUUCGGGCACUUAUAGAUGCAUACGGGCCGGAUUGGCUGGUUGGGAAGGUAAAAGGUUAUCAAGGCGAGGAGGCGUGACCGACCUGCUUGGGUGGUCGGCCACACUGGAGGUGAGACACGGUCCAGACUACUGCGGGAGGCAGCAGUAGGGAAUCGUACGCAAUGGUCGAGAACCUGACGGAGCAGCGCCGCGUGAGAUAUGAAGGUGUUCGGAUCGUAAAACUCUGUUAUUAGUGGAGAACAAAUGUGUAAGUAACCGUGCACGUAGUGACGGUACCGGGUCAAAAAGCAACGGCUAACUACGUG